rnacentral:rRNA from 1 species
AGCAACUUGGGAGAAUGACUUCUUAGUAUAAUAUAUGUAUGUGCUUUUUAUAUAUUUAUAUUAUAAUUAGGAAAUAUCACGAAAUGUGAAUGUAAUUCUAGGUAAAAGAUUGAUAAUGACAAAUUUUUAUCUAUAUGUCUUGACCAAAUCUUGUGCCAGCAGUCGCGGCAACACAAGGAAGACUAGUGUUAUUCAUCUUAAAUAGGUUUAUGGGGUACCUAGACGGUAAAUUAGGCCUUAAAUGGAACGUUUUUACUAGAGUUAUACAUGCGUGGGGAUUGUGUAAGUAUUACCAGAGUAGAGAUGCAAUUUUUUAAUACUGUUAAGACUGGUAAAGGCGAAGGCAAACCUUUAUAUAUUAACUGACGUUGAGGGACGAAGGCUUGGGGCGCAAACAGGAUUAGAUACCCUAAUAGUCCAGGCAGAGAAUUAUGAAUGUCAUA